rnacentral:rRNA from 1 species
UCGAACGUUUAGCUCUGUGCUUCUAACUGUCCCCUUGGGACUAAGCUUCGGCUUAUUUUGACAACUUGACCUCAAAUCGGGUAGGACUACCCGCUGAACUUAA